rnacentral:rRNA from 1 species
GACGAACGCUGGCGGCGUGCUUAACACAUGCAAGUCGAACGGAAAGGCCCUGCUUUUGUGGGGUGCUCGAGUGGCGAACGGGUGAGUAACACGUGAGUAACCUGCCCUUGACUUUGGGAUAACUUCAGGAAACUGGGGCUCAUACCGGAUAGGAGCUCCUGCUGCAUGGUGGUGGUUGGAAAGUUUCGGCGGUUGGGGAUGGACUCGCGGCUUAUCAGCUUGUUGGUGGGGUAGUGGCUUACCAAGGCUUUGACGGGUAGCCGGCCCGAGAGGGUGAACGGGGACAAUGGGACUGAGGUACGGCGCAGACGCGUACGGGAGGCAGCAGGGGGGAACAUGGCAGAAUGGGCGGAAGUGUGAUGCAGCGACGCUGCGUGCGGGAUGACGGCUUUCGGGUGGUAAACCGCUGUGGCCUGAAAUGAACAGUGAGUGACGGUAAUGGGUAAAGAAGCACCGGCUAACUACGUG